rnacentral:lncRNA from 1 species
GAGAGUUUUAUUGCUCGGUACCCAAGCGGCUUGCGUAUGCAAGACGUUGGGGCGGCGGUACUGCGCAUGCGCGAAGACCCAAGCAGAUGCGUCGCAAGAUCGCUAUC